AAUAAAUGUGUUGAAAAGAGUAUUGUUCUGGCAUUUGCUACAUUUUAAUAAUUCAAUUUAAAAGUAUUUAGCUGUAAGCACUGCAGAAAUUGUGAUCAUAGAACCUGAUAAGUGAUGGGAGAGGAUUAUCUCUCUUGUUACUGUACCUCACUAACAUACAUAAAUGAUGGGAACAUUUAGUUCUGUGUCUCAUAGAUUAUGAAGUAAUUGAGAGACCAACGGUAAUAUGCUGGUCCAAGUUGUUCAUUUUGUGAACAGUGCAUUAGAUGUUAUAAACUAUUUUAGAAUUAUGAUUUAAAGAUAUCACUCCAUGCUGCACACCCAAUGCUGCACAUGAUGUUUGUUAGGUAGUUUGCAGUUUUUAAUCGUAAUUCUGGUGGCUUCCACAGUUUUUACUGCACUUGGAAGUAGGAGUGUGCUAAUUGGGGCAAAGUCCAGCUCAGCUCAACUCUGCUCUGCACUCCUAUAGCACCAUUUUCCCUGCAGGCUGAAGAUGUUUGCAAACAACCGUCCACCAGCACGAGACCAACACUUAUACACUUUGGUGGUCCGGGGGAGGAAGAUGUAUGAGCUACUCAGUGGCAUCAAUGAUGCUAUGGAGACCCUCGACAAGAUUCAAGCAGCCCUUAACAAUGUUAAUGAAGCCCUCUUCCAGAGCAUCAGUCCUUUUAAGGAGGCCUCUGACGAUGGUCGUGGAUCCACUGGCCACAGUGCGAGUGAUGUUAUGGAGGCCCCUGACGAUGGUCAAGUGUCCCCCGAUGAUGUUCAUGGAUCCCCUGGCCACAGUCUGAGUCAUUGUAUGGAGGCUAGGACUGCUGAGAAGGAUGGUAACAAAGGUCCAUGAAGAGGAAGCCAUAGUAAAGAGUGCACCUUCAGACUGAGAUUCAUAAACAUGCACAUACAUGUGAUCAUACACACAAAUCAUCCACAUGUACACCACACAACACACUCUAUAGACAGACAGAUAGACACACACACACACACACACAAACACACACAAUAUUGACUUUAAAUAAAA